CAGGCUUAACACAUGCAAGUCGAGGGGCAGCAUGGUCUUAGCUUGCUAAGACUGAUGGCGACCGGCGCACGGGUGAGUAACACGUAUCCAACCUGCCGUCUACUCUUGGACAGCCUUCUGAAAGGAAGAUUAAUACAAGAUGGCAUCAUGAGUCCGCAUGUUCACAUGAUUAAAGGUAUUCCGGUAGACGAUGGGGAUGCGUUCCAUUAGAUAGUAGGCGGGGUAACGGCCCACCUAGUCUUCGAUGGAUAGGGGUUCUGAGAGGAAGGUCCCCCACAUUGGAACUGAGACACGGUCCAAACUCCUACGGGAGGCAGCAGUGAGGAAUAUUGGUCAAUGGGCGAGAGCCUGAACCAGCCAAGUAGCGUGAAGGAUGACUGCCCUAUGGGUUGUAAACUUCUUUUAUAAAGGAAUAAAGUCGGGUAUGCAUACCCGUUUGCAUGUACUUUAUGAAUAAGGAUCGGCUAACUCCGUGCCAGCAGCCGCGGUAAUACGGAGGAUCCGAGCGUUAUCCGGAUUUAUUGGGUUUAAAGGGAGCGUAGAUGGAUGUUUAAGUCAGUUGUGAAAGUUUGCGGCUCAACCGUAAAAUUGCAGUUGAUACUGGAUAUCUUGAGUGCAGUUGAGGCAGGCGGAAUUCGUGGUGUAGCGGUGAAAUGCUUAGAUAUCACGAAGAACUCCGAUUGCGAAGGCAGCCUGCUAAGCUGCAACUGACAUUGAGGCUCGAAAGUGUGGGUAUCAAACAGGAUUAGAUACCCUGGUAGUCCACACGGUAAACGAUGAAUACUCGCUGUUUGCGAUAUACGGCAAGCGGCCAAGCGAAAGCGUUAAGUAUUCCACCUGGGGAGUACGCCGGCAACGGUGAAACUCAAAGGAAUUGACGGGGGCCCGCACAAGCGGAGGAACAUGUGGUUUAAUUCGAUGAUACGCGAGGAACCUUACCCGGGCUUAAAUUGCAGAUGAAUUACGGUGAAAGCCGUAAGCCGCAAGGCAUCUGUGAAGGUGCUGCAUGGUUGUCGUCAGCUCGUGCCGUGAGGUGUCGGCUUAAGUGCCAUAACGAGCGCAACCCUUGUUGUCAGUUACUAACAGGUUCUGCUGAGGACUCUGACAAGACUGCCAUCGUAAGAUGUGAGGAAGGUGGGGAUGACGUCAAAUCAGCACGGCCCUUACGUCCGGGGCUACACACGUGUUACAAUGGGGGGUACAGAGGGCCGCUACCACGCGAGUGGAUGCCAAUCCCCAAAACCUCUCUCAGUUCGGACUGGAGUCUGCAACCCGACUCCACGAAGCUGGAUUCGCUAGUAAUCGCGCAUCAGCCACGGCGCGGUGAAUACGUUCCCGGGCCUUGUACACACCGCCCGUCAAGCCAUGGGAGCCGGGGGUACCUGAAGUGCGUAACCGCGAGGAGCGCCCUAGGGUAAAACUGGUGACUGGGGCUAAG
rnacentral:rRNA from 1 species